UCUUCUCCUUCUGCUGUACCUUUCUUCUUCGUGGGAUCUCCUCUGCGCCACGCGCCGUCAAGGUGCGACCUAGGGUUAGAGGAAUUUUCUCCGUCGGCCUCUCUUCCCCACUACUGGGCCACUCGACCUCCUCCCCCAUGUUUCCUGUACUAGGUCCAACACCGGCGGCGAGCGGCAGCGCCCCGCCUCUCCCCUGAAACGGGCUGUAACUCCGGGGACAACAACGGAUCUGCCACAAAUCUUCUGCACCUCAAGAAUCUAGCUUCGGCACUGCAUGCAGCAAAACAUUGUGAGGAAAAAAUGAGAUAUCUUCAUAAGGCUAUUGCCGAUGCCUUCGCACAUUUGGGGCAGAAGGGUGCAGUUAGUGAUCAAACUAAGGUUCAAGAGUUUGAAUCCUUUGUUGGAACAACAUUCCCGAGUGUGAUCAAUAUUCAUCCACCAGAUGUGGCAAACACAAAAGGGAGUGGCAAGAGAUUGAAAAGGGGUUCAGAGCAGACCGUCAACCAAAAGAAAAAGAGGCAAAAAAGCGUCCAACAGGCCCCUGAUAAGUAGCGGUGGUGGUUUAAGCAUUUCCAUGACUCUGGCGAGAAGAUGCAUGCAUAUAAUAAGCUAAUUUGUGAUGUCUAAUGUAUGGGAUGAUUUUGUGUAUUUUUAUUAUUGAAGUGGAUUUGCCUAACAAUCUAUGUCGUGCAUAACUUGAGCAGUAGCUAAAUGUCCCUUUAUUAGCAAACUACUAGGCAUGUUAAAUCUGGGAGACUGUUGCAUGAGGUUUGGUAUGGUGAUUGGUGAAGUUGCAUAAUUAUAUGUUCUGCUCCAGGUUCAAGUCAGGAGCCGCUUAAGUGCAUUUUUCUCUCUCUAUAAUGUAUAGCUCUACUUAUAUAUGUUUGGAUGUAAGUUCAUGCCCCCUCUGAUGUUGUGAAGUGGGAGAUUAACUGAAUUAUAUCUAUGUACAGCUUACCAGUUAUUUGACCAUCAGGUUGGGGACUGGUCGUCUCAUUUUUUAGGUGAGAAUAGAAAGUCGCCAUGAGUCAUGCAAAUCUGUAGUUGCUUAUUUUUCUU